AGGGUUUUAGAAAGCCGGGGCUUUUAGUUUAAGAUCCUCUGAGGGGUUUAGACGCUGAGAUAGAGAGUUGGGAGUGAAGGAAAAUACAAAGCUCUUUGUUUUCCUGUGAUUGAACACAAUGGCGACGGCACUGAACGUUCCUCCAACAACUCCUAUUCCGACGCCGCAGCAGAUGAAGAAAGAGGAAGAGAAAGUGGAUUACUUGAACCUCCCUUGUCCUAUUCCUUACGAGGAGAUCCACCGUGAAGCUCUCAUGUCUUUAAAGCCAGAACUAUUUGAAGGGAUGCGCUUUGAUUUUACCAAGGGACUCAAUCCGAAGUUCUCACUAAGUCACAGUGUGUUCAUGGGACCAAUGGAGAUUCCUUCACAAUCUUCUGAAACCAUCAAAAUCCCUACCGCUCACUAUGAAUUUGGUGCGAACUUUAUUGACCCAAAGUUGAUGCUUUUUGGGAGAAUAAUGACUGAUGGGAGGCUCAAUGCAAGACUGAAGUGUGAUUUAACUGAAAAUCUUUCAUUGAAGGCUAAUGCUCAGCUUACAAAUGAGCCACAUAUGUCACAUGGCAUGACUACUUUUGAUUACAAGGGUAAAGACUACAGGACCCAGUUUCAACUAGGAAAUGGUGCCUUAUUUGGAGCAAAUUAUAUUCAGAGUGUGACCCCGCAUUUGUCUUUUGGUGGUGAAGUGUUUUGGGCUGGUCAGCAUCGGAAGUCUGGUAUUGGUUAUGCCGCUCGAUACAAUACGGAUAAGAUGGUUGCCACAGGUCAAGUUGCAAGUACAGGAUUGGUUGCUCUGAGCUAUGUUCAGAAGGUAUCGGAGAAGGUUUCUCUAGCAUCGGACUUCAUGUACAACUACAUGUCAAGAGAUGUCACAGCCAGUUUUGGUUAUGAUUACAUCCUUCGACAGGCCUUGUGAAAAGAAAUCAAUGUUCCAAAUGGCGGACAUGUUGGAGUAUUACAGAGAGACCGAGUUGACAUGGAAUUUGGGAUUGAAAUAUAGUUGUAUGUGAAGCUACAGAUUCUGAGACAUGUUGCUUUGCAGUCCCUUAUGUCACCAUUUUAUAAUUGUCUGGGCUCAUUGUACUUAGAAUGCUUAACAUUCUUCUUGCUGCUAUAUCCUCCAAGCAAAGCUUAAAUCUUUAUUUGGUUUAUUAGAUCUUUCAUUCUCUUAUUAAAGAAAAAAAAAAAGAAGGAAAUCUGUCAUUUGUUACUUCGCAUUUAACUCGUACUUUAGAAAAGCCAAUUUCAUAAAGAAGAUAACUCUCGCUGACCUCCAGAUAGAUCACAAAAGAAAUUCUGAGGGGCUUGCAGCUGCAAGAUCAAUUUUAUAGUUCUAUCUAUACACAAUUUAGUCAGUUGAGAGCUCAGAUUAUCACUAUAGAAUGGCAGAAUAAGAUCUCAUUUGGAUGUUAGGUUGUUCAAUCAACAAGGCUAUAGUUUACUACCAGGACUUGCAUCAUGAAGAAAAGUAUAUGCCCCGGGGUCUGGGCUCAAGCGUUAAGGGGUGGGGUGGGGUUUGUGUAAUCUGAGGUUCAAUUUUUCCUGAAAAAGGAUACACACACACACACACACACACACACA